UACGUAGGGUGCAAGCGUUAAUCGGAAUUACUGGGCGUAAAGCGUGCGCAGGCGGUUGUGUAAGACAGAUGUGAAAUCCCUGGGCUUAACCUAGGAACUGCAUUUGUGACUGCAUUGCUAGAGUGUGGUAGAGGGAGAUGGAAUUCCGCAUGUAGCAGUGAAAUGCGUAGAUAUGCGGAGGAACACCAAUGGCGAAGGCAAUCUCCUGGACCUGCACUGACGCUCAUGCACGAAAGCGUGGGGAGCAAACAGG
rnacentral:rRNA from 1 species